rnacentral:rRNA from 1 species
CCUACGGUGCGCAGCAGUGGGGAAUAUUGGACAAUGGGCGAAAGCCUGAUCCAGCCAUGCCGCGUGUGUGAAGAAGGCCUUCGGGUUGUAAAGCACUUUCAGUGGGGAAGAAAGCCUUGGGGCUAAUACCCUCGAGGAAGGACAUCACCCACAGAAGAAGCACCGGCUAACUCCGUGCCAGCAGCCGCGGUAAUACGGAGGGUGCGAGCGUUAAUCGGAAUUACUGGGCGUAAAGCGCGCGUAGGCGGUCUGAUAAGCCGGUUGUGAAAGCCCCGGGCUCAACCUGGGAACGGCAUCCGGAACUGUCAGGCUAGAGUGCAGGAGAGGAAGGUAGAAUUCCCGGUGUAGCGGUGAAAUGCGUAGAGAUCGGGAGGAAUACCAGUGGCGAAGGCGGCCUUCUGGACUGACACUGACGCUGAGGUGCGAAAGCGUGGGUAGCAAACAGGAUUAGAUACCCUAGUAGUC